rnacentral:rRNA from 1 species
AGUGAACGCUGGCGGUAGGCCUAACACAUGCCAGUCGAACGGCAGCACAGUAAGAGCUCGCUCUUACGGGUGGCGAGUGGCGGACGGGUGAGGAAUACAUCGGAAUCUACUUUUUCGUGGGGGAUAACGUAGGGAAACUUACGCUAAUACCGCAUACGACCUACGGGUGAAAGCAGGGGAUCUUCGGACCUUGCGCGAUUGCAUGAGCCGAUGUCGGAUUAGCUAGUUGGCGGGGUAAAGGCCCACCAAGGCGACGAUCCGUAGCUGGUCUGAGAGGAUGAUCAGCCACACUGGAACUGAGACACGGUCCAGACUCCUACGGGAGGCAGCAGUGGGUAAUAUUGGACAAUGGGCGCAAGCCUGAUCCAGCCAUACCGCGUGGGUGAAGAAGGCCUUCGGGUUGUAAAGCCCUUUUGUUGGGAAAGAAAAGCAGCAGGUUAAUACCCCGCUGUUCUGACGGUACCCAAAGAAUAAGCACCGGCUAACUUCGUG